UUAACAUAAAAAAUAAUCGGUUCCGUGGAAGACGGUGCAAAUCCGUCGCGGACCCGCCACUGUGUUCGUCGCUGCUAUGCGACGUCAGUCAGAUACACGGCCGAUUCAUUUGUUCGCCC
rnacentral:ncRNA from 2 species